rnacentral:rRNA from 1 species
UACGGAGGGUGCGAGCGUUGUCCGGAAUCACUGGGCGUAAAGGGCGCGUAGGUGGCUUCUCAAGCGCGCGGUGAAAGCCCGGGGCUCAACCCCGGGUCGGCCGUGCGGACUGGGAGGCUCGAGCACUGUAGGGGCGGGUGGAAUUCCGGGUGUAGCGGUGGAAUGCGUAGAGAUCCGGAAGAACACCGGUGGCGAAGGCGGCGUUCUGGACUGCAACUGACACUGAGGAACGAAAGCCAGGGGAGCAAACGGG